rnacentral:rRNA from 1 species
AGUGAACGCUGGCGGUAGGCCUAACACAUGCAAGUCGAACGGCAGCACAGUAAGAGCUUGCUCUUACGGGUGGCGAGUGGCGGACGGGUGAGAAAUACAUCGGAAUCUACUUUUUCGUGGGGGAUAACGUAGGGAAACUUACUCUAAUACCGCAUACGACCUACGGGUGAAAGCAGGGGAUCUUCGGACCUUGCGCGAUUGAAUGAGCCGAUGUCGGAUUAGCUAGUUGGCGGGGUAAAGGCCCACCAAGGCGACGAUCCGUAGCUGGUCUGAGAGGAUGAUCAGCCACACUGGAACUGAGACACGGUCCAGACUCCUACGGGAGGCAGCAGUGGGGAAUAUUGGACAAUGGGCGCAAGCCUGAUCCAGCCAUACCGCGUGGGUGAAGAAGGCCUUCGGGUUGUAAAGACCUUUUGUUGGGAAAGAAAAGCAGCAGGUUAAUACCCCGCUGUUCCGACGGUACCCAAAGAAUAAGCACCGGCUAACUUCGUG